UACGAAGGGGGCUAGCGUUGCUCGGAAUCACUGGGCGUAAAGCGCACGUAGGCGGAUCUUUAAGUCAGGGGGUGAAAUCCUGGAGCUCAACUCCAGAACUGCCUUUGAUACUGGCGAUCUCGAGUCCGGGAGAGGUGAGUGGAAUUCCGAGUGUAGAGGUGAAAUUCGUAGAUAUUCGGAGGAACACCAGUGGCGAAGGCGGCUCACUGGUCCGGUACUGGACGCUGAGGCGCGAAAGCGUGGGGAGCAAACAGG
rnacentral:rRNA from 1 species